CUUAAUUAUAGGGAUUUAUAUCAAUCUAAUCUAUACGUUCCUAUUCUAACACUCCCACUCAAGUUGGAGUAUACAUACUGUAUGCUCCUAGCUUAUUACAGAUGUACUCAAUUCUAGUCCCUUGGAGAGAUUUAGUGAGAAUGUUAGCUAACUGAUCCUUUGAACUGACAAAACUUGUAGCAAUAUAUCCAGACUCUCUGUCUAAUAAAGUGAUAAUUUAUCUCUAUGUGCUUUAUCCUUUCAUGAAACAUAGGAUUAGAAACGAUAUGUAAUGCACUCAUCUUCAUUUGUUCAUCUCCUCCACAUUUUAACUCAUGAAGAAGUUUAACCAUAUAAGCUCGCACGUAGCCAAUGCCACAGCCCCGUACUCUGCUUCCACACUUGACCUGGCCACUACAUCUUGCUUCUUACUUUUCCAAAAUAUUGGAUUCCCUCCAAUUAGAACGCAAUACGCUUAAGUUGACCUUCUAUUUGAAGGAGAUCCUACCCAGCCUGCAUCAGAAUAUCCUAUAAUCUGUGCAUGUCCCCUAUUUUCAUAUAACAAACCAUUUUUACCCUUACUUGUUGUAUGUUUGUCCCCAAAGCUUAUUUACUUUUAGGCUUAUAUCAUCUACUAAAAUAUUUACAAGAAUAGGAUUUUAUAAUUUAUUAACUCGUCCUGUUAGUACUAGGAUUUAGAACCCGAAAAUCAAUUAGCAAAGGAAUCAAUUGAUAAACCAUUGGAAAACAAACAUAUUUUUGGUAUUCUUAUAUAUAUAGCUCAAAUGGAAAAAAAGAACAGUAAUAAAGUUAGAAAGUGUAGCGUAAGAAAUAGGAAAAAUGCAAUUAAAAACAAAGGUAACAAGACAAAUUAAAGCUAUAAAGGAAAUAUUGAAAGUAUAAAUAUUAAAGAAAGCAAGUGAAUGACAAAAAAAUAAACCUUGAAAUAGAUGUAAAAAAUGAUCUUUUUGUACAAGACCUCUCUUCCUCUUUCCAUUCUCAUAUUUAUAGACGAAGUCUACUUCCUCCUCAAUGCACAAGGUAAACAUGGACUAUCAUACAAUUUUCCUUAAUUUCUUUGGCCAUUUGAAAUACAUUUGGUUUCUUAUCCCUUAAAUUUCUUUGGGCAUGAGAAAUACAUCUAGAUUCUUAUCCCUUUGCCAAUCUUACUCCCUUAUUGAUGACAUCUUAUACUAUCAGUAAAGAUUUAAGAAUUUUGGAUUAAAUGGAACCAAUCAGCCCUUCGCCAAAUCAGUUUGGGUUUCUUAGGGCUUGCUUACUUACGGUUUUCCAUUUUCUAAAAAAACUCUAGUUUUCAAUUUCCAUGGAAAACGCGUUCACCUGUCAAUAAU
rnacentral:misc_RNA from 1 species